GGCUUGUUGGUCUAGAGUUAUGAUUCUCGCUUAGGGUGCGAGAGGUCGUGGGUUCAAAUCCUCGACGAAAUCA